UCUUUGUGCAUCUCUACAAUCAAUAUUAGCUUGUAAGCUAAAUUAUUCUUUUUUAAAGAAACUUCACUAUAACACUUCAUGAAGACAUGAAGGAGGUGAGAAGGUGAGAAGAACUUCUUUAGUCAGAGGGUAGUUAAUCUGUGGAACUCGUUGCCACAGAGGGCUGUGAAGGCCAAGUCAGUGGAUAUUUUUAAGGCAAUUUCUUGAUUAGAACCAGGUUCAAGGGUUAUGGGGAGAAGGCAGGAAAAUGGGAUUAGGAGGCAGCGAUCAGCCAUGAUUGAAUGGCAGGGUAGACUUGAUGGGCCAAAUGACCUAAUUCUACUCCUAUAACUUGUGAACUUGUGAAGUUGAGAAUUUUUGUUUUUCAACUAAUUGUUUGUUGUGUUCUGAAAUGCACCAAUUGAAAAACAAAGUGCUGGAGGAACUCAGUGGGCCGGGCAGCAAAUCUGAAAGAAAUGGACAAACGACAUUUUAGGUCGGGUCUCAUCUUCGGACUGGUGAAGCAUCCUGACCCAAAGCAUCGUCUGGCCAUUCCUCCGCGGAUGCUGCCUGACCAGCUGAGUUUCCCCAGCACUUUGCCUUUUGCCCAAGGUUCCAGACUUGGCAGUUUCUUGUGCCUUGUGCUAUUUGGAAGUCUGGUGCCAGCAGAUUCAAUAGCAACUUUCAAAUGGACAAAAGUGCCGGAGAAACUCAGCGGGUGCAGCAGCAUCUAUGGAGCGAAGGAAAUAGGCAACGUUUCGUUCCGAAACGUUGCCUCUUUCCUUCGCUCCAUAGAUACUGCUUCACCCGCUGAGUUUCUCCAGCACUUUUGUCUACCUUCGAUUUUCCAGCAUCUGCAGUUCCUUCUUAAAAACUUUCAAAUGGAAAUUGGUUAUUGCCUGAAAAGGGGAAAAUAAGCAAAGCUACAGAAACAAAGCAGAGCGAUGGGACAAAGGGCUGAUUGGCCUCCUUCAGUGCAGUAAGACUACAAUUAGAGCAAUAGGGUCAAGUGUGGCAAAUCCUCACUGUAAUUUGAUUAUUAAAUAGCUCAUACCUAAGAGAAAACAUUCAGAGCUCGUUACUCUUGGUCACACUCAGACGCGUUGGUUAAAUGCAGCUAAUUAAAUAGGUUGAUGAGCAUGUCGUAAAUAGAGCAUGACUUUGUGUUCUUUUUAUAUUCUCACAGGUCAGGCAGAGACAGAUGGGAAAGAUCGCAAACUGUGCUACAGAAUGGAAAAAGAAUGCAUUCUCAAAAUAACGCAUUGCUUUAAUUCACACAGCUCCACAGUGCAGCAGGGAGCGUCUUGCUGACUUCUCUAAUACAUUACCUAUGUUUAGCCCUCAGGCUAAAUUACAUGGAGGAACUGCUUGUAAAUCACGCUGUGUUGCUGUUGUAUCGGACACACUUGGCUGCCUUACUUAAUUCUUUAACAUACUGCGUCCGGCUUCAUCUGCGGGAGCUGAAAUCAACUGAAACAGCCUGUUAAUGCACGAUUCAGACGUGGUGCCUGGCUCGCUUACACUGCCCUUCUCAAACCAUCUCUGGCCUUGCCUCUGCCCAUUCCAUUGCAAGCUGGUUCAGGGGCAGGAUCUCUGAGCUCUCACCGCACACGGCUGGCUGCAUUCUGUGGUCAGAACAGAAUCCCAAUAGGACAGUCUUGAAUAACACCGAGUCUUCAGAGUUGCCGCAGUCCUGGUUUCCCACUUGCGGCUUGUAUGUCUGCUGGGAGCUAAUUUCCCCAAUCCUUUCCUUUAGACUUGACAGAUUGUCAGUUAUCAUAGUAGUGAUCAAGGGCAAGAGCUGAUAUGAAGCUGAGUAACAGGCAACCUGCCAAUUGGACAGAAUAUGAUAGGAGUUACAGUCCCAAUACUUCAGGAAAGUCACUUCAGGCAUUGCAUCACAGGAACCUCUAUAAUGGUUUCAUUUCUGCCGACACAAGGAAUUACUGCAGGUGCUGGAUAAUACACAAAUGGACACAAAAUGCUGCAGUAACUCAGCGGGUCACACAACAUCUCUGUGGAACAUGAAUAGAUGAUGUUUCAGAUGUUGCCUGACCUGCAGAGUACAGUAAAACUCCGAGAAUCCGCUAACUAUUUGGAAAUUCUGACCGAUCAGA